rnacentral:rRNA from 1 species
AAAUUGAAGAGUUUGAUCAUGGCUCAGAUUGAACGCUGGCGGCAGGCCUAACACAUGCAAGUCGAACGGUAACAGGAAGCAGCUUGCUGCUUCGCUGACGAGUGGCGGACGGGUGAGUAAUGUCUGGGAAACUACCUGAUGGAGGGGGAUAACUACUGGAAACGGUAGCUAAUACCGCAUAACGUCGCAAGACCAAAGAGGGGGACCUUCGGGCCUCUUGCCAUCGGAUGUGCCCAGAUGGGAUUAGCUAGUA